GACUACCCGCUGAGUUUAAGCAUAUCAAUAAGCGGAGGAA
rnacentral:rRNA from 1 species